UUUUGGGAGUWAAAGUCGUAAC
rnacentral:rRNA from 1 species